ACCGGCUUUUUGGGAUUCGCUCCACCUCGCGGUAUCGCAGCCCUUUGUACCGGCCAUUGUAGCAUGUUUGCAGCCCUAGACAUAAGGGGCAUGAUGAUUUGACGUCAUCCCCACCUUCCUCCGAGUUGACCCCGGCAGUCUCCUAUGAGUCCCCACCAUCACGUGCUGGCAACAUAGAACGAGGGUUGCGCUCGUUGCGGGACUUAACCCAACAUCUCACGACACGAGCUGACGACAACCAUGCACCACCUGUGCACGACCCUUGCGGACCCACCAUCUCUGGAGGAUUUCCGUGCAUGUCAAGCCUAGGUAAGGUUCUUCGCGUUGCAUCGAAUUAAGCAACAUGCUCCGCCGCUUGUGCGGGCCCCCGUCAAUUCCUUUGAGUUUUAGCCUUGCGGCCGUACUCCCCAGGCGGGGCGCUUAAUGCGUUAGCUGCGGCACGGAACUCGUGGAAUGAGCCCCACACCUAGCGCCCAACGUUUACGGCGUGGACUACCAGGGUAUCUAAUCCUGUUCGCUCCCCACGCUUUCGCUCCUCAGCGUCAGUUGUUGCCCAGAGACCCGCCUUCGCCACCGGUGUUCCUCCUGAUAUCUGCGCAUUUCACCGCUACACCAGGAAUUCCAGUCUCCCCUGCAACACUCUAGUCUGCUCGUAUCGACUGCAGGCCUGAGGUUGAGCCUCAGGUUUUCACAGCCGACGCAACAAACCGCCUACGAGCUCUUUACGCCCAAUAAUUCCGGACAACGCUUGCACCCUACGUAUUACCGCGGCUGCUGGCACGUAGUUGGCCGGUGCUUCUUCUGCAGGUACCGUCACUUUCGCUUCGUCCCUGCUGAAAGAGGUUUACAACCCGAAGGCCGUCAUCCCCCACGCGGCGUCGCUGCGUCAGGCUUUCGCCCAUUGCGCAAUAUUCCCCACUGCUGCCUCCCGUAGGAGUCUGGGCCGUGUCUCAGUCCCAGUGUGGCCGGUCACCCUCUCAGGCCGGCUACCCGUCGUCGCCUUGGUAGGCCACUACCCCACCAACAAGCUGAUAGGCCGCGGGCCCAUCCCCAGCCGAUAAAUCUUUCCACCACCAGACCAUGCGGUCAGCGGUCGUAUCCAGUAUUAGCCCCAAUUUCUUGGAGUUAUCCCAGAGCUGAGGGCAGGUUGCCCACGUGUUACUCACCCGUUCGCCACUGAUCCCCCCGCAAGCGGAGUUCAC
rnacentral:rRNA from 1 species